rnacentral:rRNA from 1 species
CUGGCCUUGACAUGCUGAGAACUUUCCAGAGAUGGAUUGGUGCCUUCGGGAACUCAGACACAGGUGCUGCAUUGCUGUCGUCAGCUCGUGUCGUGAGAUGUUGGGUUAAGUCCCGUAACGAGCGCAACCCUUGUCCUUAGUUACCAGCACCUCGGGUGGGCACUCUAAGGAGACUGCCGGUGACAAACCGGAGGAAGGUGGGGAUGACGUCAAGUCAUCAUGGCCCUUACGGCCAGGGCUACACACGUGCUACAAUGGUCGGUACAAAGGGUUGCCAA